UACGAAGGGGGCUAGCGUUGCUCGGAAUCACUGGGCGUAAAGGGUGCGUAGGCGGCGCGGUAAGUCGGGUGUGAAAUCUUGGAGCUUAACUCCGAAACUGCAUUCGAUACUGCCGUGCUUGAGGACUGGAGAGGAGACUGGAAUUUACGGUGUAGCGGUGAAAUGCGUAGAUAUCUGGAGGAACACCGGUGGCGAAGGCGGCAUCCUGGACCGGCAUUGACGCUGAGGCGCGAAAGCCAGGGGAGCAAACGGG
rnacentral:rRNA from 1 species